rnacentral:rRNA from 1 species
GAUGAACGCUGGCGGCGUGCCUAAUACAUGCAAGUCGAGCGAACGGACGAGAAGCUUGCUUCUCUGAUGUUAGCGGCGGACGGGUGAGUAACACGUGGAUAACCUACCUAUAAGACUGGGAUAACUUCGGGAAACCGGAGCUAAUACCGGAUAAUAUUUUGAACCGCAUGGUUCAAAAGUGAAAGACGGUCUUGCUGUCACUUAUAGAUGGAUCCGCGCUGCAUUAGCUAGUUGGUAAGGUAACGGCUUACCAAGGCAACGACGCAUAGCCGACCUGAGAGGGUGAUCGGCCACACUGGAACUGAGACACGGUCCAGACUCCUACGGGAGGCAGCAGUAGGGAAUCUUCCGCAAUGGGCGAAAGCCUGACGGAGCAACGCCGCGUGAGUGAUGAAGGUCUUCGGAUCGUAAAACUCUGUUAUUAGGGAAGAACAUAUGUGUAAGUAACUGUGCACAUCUUGACGGUACCUAAUCAGGAAGCCACGGCUAACUACGUGCCAGCAGCCGCGGUAAUACGUAGGUGGCAAGCGUUAUCCGGAAUUAUUGGGCGUAAAGCGCGCGUAGGCGGUUUUUUAAGUCUGAUGUGAAAGCCCACGGCUCAACCGUGGAGGGUCAUUGGAAACUGGAAAACUUGAGUGCAGAAGAGGAAAGUGGAAUUCCAUGUGUAGCGGUGAAAUGCGCAGAGAUAUGGAGGAACACCAGUGGCGAAGGCGACUUUCUGGUCUGUAACUGACGCUGAUGUGCGAAAGCGUGGGGAUCAAACAGGAUUAGAUACCCUGGUAGUCCACGCCGUAAACGAUGAGUGCUAAGUGUUAGGGGGUUUCCGCCCCUUAGUGCUGCAGCUAACGCAUUAAGCACUCCGCCUGGGGAGUACGACCGCAAGGUUGAAACUCAAAGGAAUUGACGGGGACCCGCACAAGCGGUGGAGCAUGUGGUUUAAUUCGAAGCAACGCGAAGAACCUUACCAAAUCUUGACAUCCUUUGACAACUCUAGAGAUAGAGCUUUCCCCUUCGGGGGACAAAGUGACAGGUGGUGCAUGGUUGUCGUCAGCUCGUGUCGUGAGAUGUUGGGUUAAGUCCCGCAACGAGCGCAACCCUUAAGCUUAGUUGCCAUCAUUAAGUUGGGCACUCUAAGUUGACUGCCGGUGACAAACCGGAGGAAGGUGGGGAUGACGUCAAAUCAUCAUGCCCCUUAUGAUUUGGGCUACACACGUGCUACAAUGGACAAUACAAAGGGCAGCGAAACCGCGAGGUCAAGCAAAUCCCAUAAAGUUGUUCUCAGUUCGGAUUGUAGUCUGCAACUCGACUACAUGAAGCUGGAAUCGCUAGUAAUCGUAGAUCAGCAUGCUACGGUGAAUACGUUCCCGGGUCU